rnacentral:rRNA from 1 species
AAAUGAAUUGACGGGGGCCCGCACAAGCAGUGGAGUAUGUGGAUUAAUUCGACGCAACGCGAAGAACCUUACCAGGUCUUGACAUCUUGAGAAUCCUUUAGAGAUAGAGGAGUGCCCUUCGGGGAAUUCAAAGACAGGUGGUGCAUGGUUGUCGUCAGCUCGUGUCGUGAGAUGUUGGGUUAAGUCCCGCAACGAGCGCAACCCUUAUGUUUAGUUGCUACGCAAGAGCACUCUAGACAGACUGCCGUUGACAAAACGGAGGAAGGUGGGGAUGACGUCAAAUCAUCAUGCCCCUUAUGACCUGGGCCUCACACGUACUACAAUGGCUAUUAACAGAGUGAAGCAAUACGGUGACGUGGAGCAAAACACUAAAAAUAGUCUUAGUUCGGAUUGUAGGCUGAAACUCGCCUACAUGAAGUCGGAAUUGCUAGUAAUCGCAGAUCAGCAUGCUGCGGUGAAUACGUUCCCGGGCCUUGCACACACCGCCCGU